UAGUGGUGGUGGAGCAUGUGAAGUUGGACCUAGUGGUGAUGGAUCAAGGGAUGGUGCUAUGCAUGAGCAAGCAGCUCCAAAUCCUCCACUUCGUCCAAGAUCAACAAGGCUAAAGAAAGUCCCUGUGAAGGAACUUUAUAAGUGACAAGUGAUCAAAGCCUCUCCAAGGACUAUGGAGGAUUUCAUU